rnacentral:rRNA from 1 species
AACGAACGCUGGCGGCAGGCCUAACACAUGCAAGUCGAGCGAACCCUUCGGGGUUAGCGGCGGACGGGUUAGUAACGCGUGGGAAUAUACCCUUUGGUACGGAAUAGCCUCGGGAAACUGAGAGUAAUACCGUAUGUGCCCUUCGGGGAAAGAUUUAUCGCCAAAGGAUUAGCCCGCGUUGGAUUAGAUAGUUGGUGGGGUAAUGGCCUACCAAGUCUACGAUCCAUAGCUGGUUUGAGAGGAUGAUCAGCAACACUGGGACUGAGACACGGCCCAGUACUCCUACGGGAGGCAGCAGUGGGAAUCUUAGACAAUGGGCGCAAGCCUGAUCUAGCCAUGCCGCGUGGACGAUGAAGGCCUUAGGGUUGUAAAGUCCUUUCAGAUGGGAAGAUAAUGACGGUACCAUCGGAAGAGCCCCGGNUAACUCCGUGCCAGCAG